UUCACAAUACAGAUAAGUGAUAGCAAAAACAGGGUGUGACACAUUUCAUCCACUUCUUGAUUUGGGUUGUGCCUCUUCAUGUCAAAUAAUAUUUACAUCAUAGAUAUACAUUCAGUCCAGAUUCGAAGCCAAUAUGUUUUACAAUCCAAAAAUAAAUUGAAAGUAAACAUAGUGGCAAGUAAAUAUACACCAAAUUCUCAGCAAAAUCACCAGUAAACAAAAUUCCAAGAAAAAAUGGCAUUACAACAAAGUCCUGCACUUCCCUAGAUCCAGCAUGCAUUUAUUUUUCCAACUUCUUCAUCCUGGAGCUCAGGACGAAACAUGAAUAAAGUCUGUGCAAAUUAAAAGGGUAUAUGCAUCAGCGGGUAGCUAAAGUGAAACUAAUUAAGACGAUUUUGUUAGUUAAACUGAGAGGAACUGAAAACUGGAAAGCUUAAUUCAUACAUAUUUCAUACAUUCAUGUGUGGAGUUAUUACAGUAUACAAGUAGUAGUACAAGGACUGACUAACUGCAGCUAUACACGUUCUGCUGGUCAUGAACUGCUGCUACAAGUGACUCAAUAUGAUACAACAACACAGAGUAGUGAAGUUGUGCAAAAAAAUCUAAUUACACCUUAUAAUUAUGCAUUUCAUCUCAACUCUGAAUAGUGAUGUAAUAUGAAAAAAAGGUACAUUGUGAUGGGUACCAUAGCUCCUUCAGCCUAACAGCCACACUCACGAGAUUUGCAACAUUUACAUUGUGUAACCAACACGUAGUUAUGAACAUUUUUUAGCACUUGUGAGCAAAAA
rnacentral:lncRNA from 1 species